rfam:Mustela putorius furo unplaced genomic scaffold scaffold00061, whole genome shotgun sequence.
CCCUCUCGCCUCCCUCCCCCCCCCCCCCCGUCAAGCCUUUGGCAUCAUUAUCCUCAUCACUAAAUCCUACAGAGUACAGGGCGGAAAACGGUGCACAC